CCUACGGGGGGCUGCAGUGAGGAAUAUUGGUCAAUGGACGAGAGUCUGAACCAGCCAAGUAGCGUGAAGGAUGACUGCCCUAUGGGUUGUAAACUUCUUUUAUAAAGGAAUAAAACGAGGCACGUGUGCCUUUUUGCAUGUACUUUAUGAAUAAGGAUCGGCUAACUCCGUGCCAGCAGCCGCGGUAAUACGGAGGAUCCGAGCGUUAUCCGGAUUUAUUGGGUUUAAAGGGAGCGUAGAUGGGUUGUUAAGUCAGUUGUGAAAGUUUGCGGCUCAACCGUAAAAUUGCAAUUGAUACUGGCAGUCUUGAGUACAGUUGAGGUAGGUGGAAUUCGUGGUGUAGCGGUGAAAUGCUUAGAUAUCAUGAAGAACCCCGAUUGCGAAGGCAGCUUACUAAACUGUGACUGACAUUGAUGCUCGAAAGUGUGGGGAUCAAACAGGAUUAGAUACCCGUGUAGUC
rnacentral:rRNA from 1 species